AUUGCUUCUCGGCCUUUUGGCUAAGAUCAAGUGUAGUAUCUGUUAUUAUCAGUUUAAUAUAAGGUACAUAUACUAACAGACUUUAUAAAAAAGUUAGCCAGUAAUUAUU
rnacentral:snRNA from 1 species